CUUCAUGUUUACAUUCUUGCCAGUGGUGCUGAUACUUUUUUGUAUCACAACCGCUUGUUUCAGCUGUUCCAAGUAUUGAAGCAUUACUUAUGCAAGUACUUAGAGAGGGCUGCCCAUUACAAAAGAAGAGCUCAUCACGAUGCUGUGAUGGUAUGUUUUCAAAACUGGAAAAAAAUCUGUGCUAUGGUGGCCUUAAAUAUGUGCUCAACAUUUUGAAAAAUGUGAACAGCAAAAACAGUUGUCACUAUGCAGUGUAUUUGGACAACGGAAGCAUUCUUGAAUCAGACUGCUUCAGUUUAUAUCGAAGACGUAUUGCUUGUCAUACCCUGUGAGGCUGUGACCAACUUCACAGGACUAUCUUCAAAUUUAGAUUACAUGCCUAGUAUGAAAGAGAUCAAGUAUAUUACCGAAAUUGGCUAUCUCAAUUCGCGACUUCCGAACUCCUCAGUCUGUCAUUCUGAUGCAGGGGUCCUGAAAGAAGUUGGAACGUUUUGAACCAUCUCAUCCAAUAAGUAUUAGAAAAUAGGUAGUCGCUUAAUGAUUAGUUUCUUCGCUGCCCGUCAACUUACCAUCCAAGCAAGCACUAUGUCUGCCAAAUCGUUAGCUGAAUACAAUUAAUGCUAGUAGUUCACCAAAACAAGAGGUUAAGAAUCGUACUGAAUCAAAAAGAGGUAUCUAGUCGAGCCAAAUUUGAUAAUGAUAACGGUUGGAAGUCCGACGGAAUUUUUGAAAAAUGCUUCCUGCCCAUUACCUUCAAUCGUUGCUGCGGCCCGAAAACAAAGUAUUAAAAGUUAUAUAAAUUGAAGUGCAUAUCUGGGCUCCCUUCUUUUCUGUGGCUCCGUUUACCUUUGAUUUGUAAUAAGCCCGUAGGGGGUCAUGCCCCUACUGUGAUCAGCAGCAAAGGUUGUGAGUGCGCUGUCUGGAAACGGGACGUGGGGGUCCUCAUGGUCCGAUGAUAUCAUUGGAGGGUUAUGGGGCUACCCAAAAAUCCGAAUUAACAGUUAAUCGCUCACGUAAAAGCUUGUCCGAAACCUUCGCUCUUCUUCCGGCUUCUCUUAGCCACGCACCGGGUAAUCUCCCCGGUGAGUCAACUGAGGUAGUGUCUCCCCCUACCUUGGUUGACAGCAAGUUUGAA